rnacentral:rRNA from 1 species
GUCCACGCCGUAAACGAUGCUAACUCGUUUUGGAUUUUCGGAUUCAGAGACCAAGCGAAAGUGAUAAGUUAGCCACCUGGGGAGUACGUCCGCAAGGAUGAAACUCAAAGGAAUUGACGGGGCCCGCACAAGCGGUGGAUUAUGUGGUUUAAUUCGAUGAUACGCGAGGAACCUUACCAAGACUUAAAUGGGAAUUGACAGAUUUAGAAAUAGAUCCUCCUUCGGGCAAUUUUCAAGGUGCUGCAUGGUUGUCGU